UGGCUCCAGAGCUAGAAGUAGUGGCUGUGC
rnacentral:piRNA from 1 species